UGUGGGCAAUUUCAAUAGAGUUACAGUUCCAUUUUGUAUAUUUUUGAUUUGUAGUUAGUAUAACACAAAACCUAUGGAUUCAGAGGCUCAGUUCUAAUUUCUCUUCCUUGAUGUUACAAGCACUUCAUCCCUGAGCAUUGCCCUUUUUUCUGACUGCUCCAAAGUCUAGAGCACUGGACACAUUUUUCAAUCAGUAUUUUGUCCUAUUCUGAAGAUGCAGUUCUGAUGCAACUUGACAUUUGUUUUGUUUUGUUUUUACUGCAAUGGAUAUGUUUUCCACUGGAUUUUGACUUCAGAAGUCAACUAGUGAUGUCUUUUGAAGUAAUACAACUUUUCCCUGAAGAGCCCUAAAGGAUGAAUUCACAUCUUUGGUAUUCUGUGGUAUCUCUGGGACAUGGUGGGAGUGAGUGUCAUUCCUUGUUUUAGUUUACUGUGCUGAGGCUGAGCCUUUACUACUCUGGGUUGAAAUGUUCCAUCAGUUGUCAUUUCUUCAUGUGUUGCCUCGGAUCUGCUUUUUGGUUUUUUUUUUCAUUGAAACCCAAUUGGCCUAUUGAUUUUAAGCAUUCUAUGCUGUCUAGCCUGUGCUAGACAUUUUCCCAUCUGUGCUGUUCUCUGAUUUAUUUUAGAUUAUUUCUACAAUUCUAUCAUAAGUUUCCCAGAUUAUCUGUUCAGCUGUGGCUAGUCUAUUAAGAAACACAUCCAUCAUGUCUUAAAUGUCAAUGAAUUUGCAUACUUUCAUUUUAAAUCUUGCAGCUAUUUGAAAUAUUUGCUUAAUUUUGAAAACGUUCCUUUUAAUGGUUUUGUAUUCCAUAUUCAUUUUAAAGAUUCUAAGUUUACUUCUGUAAACGAAUGCAAACUGGAAAUUCCCUAAAACCAGACUUAUUUUAUGAUUAGGACAUAUCACUCUAGAAUGUAUAGCAAAAGGAGUGUAACUCAGGACACCACAGAGGUACUUGCAUGUCCAUGUUUGUUGCUGCACUAUACAUGAUAACUGAUGCAUGGACAAAGCCUCGGUGUCCAUCAAUAGAUGAAUGAAAAAAAGAAAUUAUGUAUAAUAUGCAUAUGAAUAGUGGGAUGUUAUUCAGUUUUCUCAAGAAGAAUGGACUCAUGCCAUUUAUAGAGAAUGAGAGAAAUUAGAGAUCAGUAUUUUAAAGUAAGCAAGGCUCAGAAAGACAAAUAUUGUGUUUUCUCUCAUAUGUGGAAGAUACAAGAUACAGAAGUAGUGUCUGUGAAAGAAGAAGAGAACAUAAAGGGAAACAAGAGAGGGUAGUAGAGUACAUUCGACAAUAAGCAGAGGGAAGGUCCCAGUCAGGAGAGGUUGAUGGGGGACAGAGACGGAACUGAAGGAGGCAAAGAAGAGCAAAUCACUGAGAUGCCUAGAUAUGAAAAUGUCAUGAUUAAAUUCUUCAUAUACUAACCAAAAGAUUAGUAUUUAACUCAAUAUCCAAAGUAGUAGCUGAUAUGGGAUUUUUUUCCAUGUGACUUCUGCUAUAUCUUGCUUUUGUAUACUCCGAGUCUUUGUAAGAACAGUGUUCCUGGAUAUUUGUGGGCCUUUGUGACCUCCAGCUUGAUGUAGAGUCUUCUGUGGAGAAGUGAUGUUUUCUACAGCUUGAGGCAUUAACAGCUUUGGGACAUUUUAAAGCAGAUUGUGAGGGGCUGGGGAUGUAUAGAGUGCUUGCCUAGCAUGCUAGAGGCUGGGUUUACGCCCCUCCCCCAAGACCAACAAACCGUCAGACAAACAAUAUUUUAAAAAUUUAUAAUGAGCAAGGGAACCCAGAGCCAGAAAGUCAAAGGCCACAUGCUUUGUCUCAUAGGUGGCUCCUGACUCAAAACUGUGUGUUAGAACUGUGUGUUAGGCUUGGAGAACCAAUAGAAUCCAGGAAGCUAGAAAAGAACUAUGAGAGGAAGGAAGGGGUUCUGGGAGGGUGUUGUCCACCACAGAGUGUGAAGGGAAAGGGAGAAAGGGAGUGGGAGGUUUACGUGGGGAUGGGAAUGGAAGGGUGGGGGGGACAGGAGGGAAAGCAUGAACAACAAGUUGUGUUGUGAGGUUGUCUGGCCACAUAGUGACUUGCUAAGAAUUUUAUGGGAGGCCUCACCUACAGUUAUUUGAUUACAGAUUUUUAAGAUGUGCUCCCCACCCUGAGCUUCGUCCUAAGUUUUGAAAUGGUCUGAUUGUCUUGAGCUGCUGGGGAGAGCUGUUCCAUGAGUCGGUGUUGUACAAACUUGGAAAAUGCACUCCCAUUUACACUACCUUCAUGGUAUUGGUUAGAAGCUCCUCAUAGCUACACUAACAUCUUAGAUGACUGUGAACGUAUCUCAGGAGCUGCUCGGUGGAUAACAAGUUAUAUCCACAUGAUUUAAAUAGGACUCCUUUCACCGUCCGCACUUACUGACUCUACUUCCAAUGUGGUGCUCCCCACUGAGUCAGCACGUUCCACAAGCUUAUUAGUGUUUUGUUAGUAACUCUGUCUUUAUUUGUUCUCAAGUCUCAGAAUUGCAUACUUAAUUUACAUUUCUGUAUUCCGUUACCUUAAGGAGAUAGCGUAUUUUGACCAAAAAUUAAAUGGAAGGAUUAAUUGAAUAAUACUAUGUGAAUGGACUGAGCAAAAAACGAAAGGAGAACAGCAAUCAGGAUGGUGCAAGAAUGAAGAUUCUUUAUGUAUGAAGGUUCUUCCGGUCUUCAGGGUACAGGGUAUUAUGGAAGGCCACCGUAGCCAGCUGUAGCUGUCCCUGGUCAUGCAGGCCUGAGAAGAAAGCUGUUAGUGCCUGCAGAGGAAGUGGUUUGCCAGCAACAUCUGUCCUCUCCUGUUACAGCCAGAGAUGGGUGCUGUAGAGGAAACUCUAAUGACUCAUUCCAGGAAAAUGACUUUUACAAAUCACU
rnacentral:lncRNA from 1 species